AGUAACGCGUGGGUAACCUGCCUCACACAGGGGAGUAACAGUUGGAAACGGCUGCUAAUACCGCAUAAGCGCACAGUACCGCAUGGUACAGUGUGAAAAACUCCGGUGGUGUGAGAUGGACCCGCGUCUGAUUAGCUAGUUGGCAGGGCAACGGCCUACCAAGGCGACGAUCAGUAGCCGACCUGAGAGGGUGACCGGCCACAUUGGGACUGAGACACGGCCCAA
rnacentral:rRNA from 1 species